CACAAAAUCAAAAUGGCUACCAAAUCGACUAAUGAGAAUAAUGUUUUUACGGCGUAUGGACUAUGGUCUACCGAUUAAAUAUGCCAACGAACUAAAUUUCGAUUAGAAAUAAUCGAAAACGUCUUCCUUUGUCAAUGCCAAAGAUAGUAGAUUUGAAUAACCAGUUGGACACAUUUGUUUGAAGUUGUGGAUCUUGAGACUCUGGAGCAACUCUCGUUGUGUCAUGAUGGUAGGGGACACAGGGCUGGCUUCUUUGUGGAGAUGGUUGUUGUCACAGAAAGGAGCGAGGACAAGUCACACAUAAGGCACGUGUUCCAGUGCGGCCCCUGGCUGGACUCGCACAACGAUAACUGCCACAUGGAGACGAUGCUGAGAAUGAUUGGUUGCUCAUGUACAGUGACUGUGAAGACUAGCGAGGGUAAAAGGACGGCCACCACAGGGAAGGUGCAAAUCACCAUGUAUGGCACCAGUGGCCACACUGCAGCCCUCCUCCUCUCAUCUUUAGAACCUGGGACUCUGGCAUUCACUUCCGGGGUCAAGUCUGAGUUCCAUAUCAGCACCGGGCAGGUUUGCUGAGUAACCAAGAUCCGACUAGAAUGUGACAACUCUGGCUCUAACCUGACUGGAGGCUUGAUUAUGUGUGAAUGUAUGAUGAGGAUAGCAGUGAUAAGCUUAUGUACUUCGUCGACCACUGGCUUGCCCUUGACAAAGUUGAUGGUUCAAUCUGUAGAGGACUACCAGCAGUACGUAAAGGCACCCCUAGCCUGCCAGUGUUACGCUAUGUGGUUGCUGUGACAACAGGAAGUUGGAUGCUAGAGUGGACAGUGCAAAUUUUUAUACUCAAUCUGAUUGGUGUAGAUGGAGAUAUUGGCUUGAGGGAGGGUACCUCACUGGAGCCAUUUCUAAAAGUUGAUUCCCUUGGCAGCCUGGACAAACUGACAUAUUCAUUGUUGAAGCCGUUUCUGUUGGGAAAAAAAUGAAAAUGAAGUGACCUUCGGCAGUCUUGAUCAGAUCAAGAGAGCAUCAUGGGGAAACACCAGAGAAAGGGAAUUCAAGACAAAAAAACACCAAAGGAUGUGCUUUCAAAGAAAGGUAAAAAAAGGUUGCAAAACAUGAAAGAAAAGAAUGAAACCCUAGUGCAGUUCUUGAUGUCUAAGGAAGUCAAGGAAAAAGGCCAGACAACAGUGCAGGGCACACAAUGCUUCCAAAAAUAGUAUAUGACACUUAUGAUCUUCACUGGGCUGACACAGAGAGCCAAGAGAGCCAUACAACAUAGUGGAUUUGGUCCUAUUGAUGAUGAUGAACAGGUGUGAGGUGCACUAAGGAGGAGAUUGAGGUCAUCAUUCAUAAGGAGUUUCAGAGCUAUCGAAAGGACAUACCAAAGUGAAUCCAUUUCAUGAUUAAUGUCGUAAUUUCCCUUUUUAACGGAGAGUGAAACUCAAGGAGGAUUUAAACCAGUUAAUAGCGCCAAACCUCAUGCUUGCCGGGCACCAAAAAUAUUAAAGGAAUGAUUUUUUGUGCAUUAUUAGCAGUGAAAUCAUUUUACAUUUAUCGAUGCUAAGGAAAUCAGUUUCUUACAUAUCAAAAAUGUAUUUAUUUUGUCUUUGCUCAUUGACUUUUAUUACCUAUUUUUCGGCAUGAAAUUUGAUUUUUUCUUAAAUCGUCCAUUUGUUGUUGCAUGUUUGCAUGGUUUAUAUGAUAAUAAACACCAUGCAUAAUUGUUUACCAUAUGAAUUAAAUUAAUUGAAGUUAAAGGCAAACAAGAAGGCAAACAAGGAAACAGGUACUUUUACUGUUUACCAUAACAAUGUGUGUGUGUGUGUGUGUGUGUGUGUGUGUGCGUGUGCGUGUGCGUGUGCGUGUGUGUGUGUGUGCGUGUGUGUGUCUGUGUGCUUCGUCUACCUUUUAUUCCUUUGUAUGUUAUCUGCCUCCUUUUAUCUGUGUGUGAGUGGGUGUGUAUAUAAGCACAUGUGCGUGCGUGAUCUCCCUCUAAAUCAUUGUGUGUACAUGCUUGUUCUACCGCUAUAUUUCUCUUCGUGUUUCUUUGCCUGUGCUUAUGCAUGCUUCUUCUACCUCUCUAACUGGAGGUGUAUGUUCUAUUCCUCUGUUGCCCUUAGUGUGUCUGUUAUAUCUAUUUCUAUUCGUUCAUCUUUUUUUCUCCCUCUAUCUUCCUCAGUCUUGUGUUGCCAUUCACAGUCUAUCAUAAAUGUUGUAACUUGAUACCUGAUUGUAUAAAUAUUAUGUAUAAAACCAAUAAAAUGAUAUAACGUUG